rnacentral:rRNA from 1 species
UCAUUGCUCAGAACGAACGCUGGCGGCAGGCCUAACACAUGCAAGUCGAGCGCGCCCUUCGGGGUGAGCGGCGGACGGGUUAGUAACGCGUGGGAAUAUACCCUUUUCUGCGGAAUAGCCUCUGGAAACGGAGAGUAAUACCGCAUACGCCCUUCGGGGGAAAGAUUUAUCGGGGAAGGAUUAGCCCGCGUUAGAUUAGGUAGUUGGUGGGGUAAUGGCCUACCAAGCCUACGAUCUAUAGCUGGUUUUAGAGGAUGAUCAGCAACACUGGGACUGAGACACGGCCCAGACUCCUACGGGAGGCAGCAGUGGGGAAUCUUGGACAAUGGGCGCAAGCCUGAUCCAGCCAUGCCGCGUGAGUGAUGAAGGCCUUAGGGUCGUAAAGCUCUUUCGCCUGUGAAGAUAAUGACGGUAGCAGGUAAAGAAACCCCGGCUAACUCCGUGCCAGCAGCCGCGGUAAUACGGAGGGGGUUAGCGUUGUUCGGAAUUACUGGGCGUAAAGCGCACGUAGGCGGACUGGAAAGUUGGGGGUGAAAUCCCAGGGCUCAACCCUGGAACUGCCUCCAAAACUAUCAGUCUAGAGUUCGAGAGAGGUGAGUGGAAUUCCGAGUGUAGAGGUGAAAUUCGUAGAUAUUCGGAGGAACACCAGUGGCGAAGGCGGCUCACUGGCUCGAUACUGACGCUGAGGUGCGAAAGUGUGGGGAGCAAACAGGAUUAGAUACCCUGGUAGUCCACACCGUAAACGAUGAAUGCCAGUCGUCGGGUAGCAUGCUAUUCGGUGACACACCUAACGGAUUAAGCAUUCCGCCU